rnacentral:snoRNA from 1 species
AUAAACCUAUAAUGGCUAGUUAUCCUUGUCUGAAAAUCACCUGAGGGUGAAUAGUCAUUUCUGAGGCUUGA